rnacentral:rRNA from 1 species
AACGAACGCUGGCGGCAGGCUUAAUACAUGCAAGUCGAGCGCGUAGCAAUACGAGCGGCAGACGGGUGAGUAACGCGUGGGAAUCUACCCAGCUCUACGGAAUAACCCAGGGAAACUUGGGCUAAUACCGUAUACGUCCGAUAGGAGAAAGAUUUAUCGGAGAUGGAUGAGCCCGCGUUGGAUUAGCUAGUUGGUGGGGUAAAGGCCUACCAAGGCGACGAUCCAUAGCUGGUCUGAGAGGAUGAUCAGCCACACUGGGACUGAGACACGGCCCAAACUCCUACGGGAGGCAGCAGUAGGGAAUAUUGGACAAUGGGCGAAAGCCUGAUCCAGCCAUGCCGCGUGAGUGAUGAAGGCCCUAGGGUUGUAAAGCUCUUUCACCGAUGAAGAUAAUGACGGUAACCGGAGAAGAAGCCCCGGCUAACUUCGUGCCAGCAGCCGCCGUAACAC